rnacentral:rRNA from 1 species
GCAAGUCGAACGUAUUUAUUUACGUGGCAAACGGGUGCGUAACACGUACUUAUCUGCCCUGGAGUGGGGGACAACAUCGGAAACGGUGCUAAUCCGCCAUAAUCCCUACGGGGGAAAGAAUUUAUUCGCUCUAGGAGGAGGGUGCGGCCUAUUAGUUAGUUGGUGAGGUAAUAGCUCACCAAGACGAUGAUGGGUAGCUGGUCUGAGAGGAUGAUC